AGUGAACGCUGGCGGUAGGCCUAACACAUGCAAGUCGAACGGCAGCACAGGAGAGCUUGCUCUCUGGGUGGCGAGUGGCGGACGGGUGAGGAAUACAUCGGAAUCUACUCUGUCGUGGGGGAUAACGUAGGGAAACUUACGCUAAUACCGCAUACGACCUACGGGUGAAAGCAGGGGACCUUCGGGCCUUGCGCGAUUGAAUGAGCCGAUGUCGGAUUAGCUAGUUGGCGGGGUAAAGGCCCACCAAGGCGACGAUCCGUAGCUGGUCUGAGAGGAUGAUCAGCCACACUGGAACUGAGACACGGUCCAGACUCCUACGGGAGGCAGCAGUGGGGAAUAUUGGACAAUGGGCGCAAGCCUGAUCCAGCCAUACCGCGUGGGUGAAGAAGGCCUUCGGGUUGUAAAGCCCUUUUGUUGGGAAAGAAAUCCAGCUGGCUAAUACCCGGUUGGGAUGACGGUACCCAAAGAAUAAGCACCGGCUAACUUCGUGCCAGCCGCCGGUAA
rnacentral:rRNA from 1 species